GCUAGGGUUUUUAUUCAUUAGGAAAUCGAUGAACCUUUGAUUAUUUAAUUUCCUUUAUUUCAUAAAUUCAAUAUAAAGUUUCAGUUGGACAAUUGUUUGAUUUAUAUGAUUUGAUUGCUUCCAUAAUUAUUGGCCAUAUGUUAUGUGAGUUUAGAUGAUUUAUUCUUUGCAUUCGAAAGAAGGGGAAUAGAUUCGAUAUAAUAUAAAUUAACAUAGGGUUCGAUAGGGGAUAGAAAUAUACCCCUAUACUUUAUGCAAUUCAUAAGGUGUUCAUAAAAAUUCAUGCAUUCUUGUAUAAUUGCAUCAUCCAUAGAAAUAUAGGCUGGUGGUGUGCAAGAGUAGAUUCAGUAUAUAUCAAGAGAGUAUAUUGGAUAGGUUUAGGAACAUUGAAUUGGCAUUUUUCCAUCGAUUCGUUGAAUUUGUGAAAUUAGGGUUUCUAAUAGUCAAUUGGGAAUUCG
rnacentral:lncRNA from 1 species